rnacentral:misc_RNA from 1 species
GAUGAAGAACGUAGCGAAAUGCGAUAAGUAAUGUGAAUUGCAGAAUUCAGUGAAUCAUCGAAUCUUUGAACGCACAUUGCGCCCCUUGGUAUUCCGAGGGGCAUGCCUGUUCGAGCGUCAUAUAACCCCUCAAGCUCAGCUUGGUGUUGGGGCCUGCUGCACUGGCAGCCCUUAAAAUCAGUGGCGGCGCCAUCUGGCUCUAAGCGUAGUAAUUCUUCUCGCUAUGGAGUCCUGGUGGAUGCUUGCCAUCAACCCCCAAUUUUUCUAUGGUUGACCUCGGAUCAGGUAGGGAUACCCGCUGAACUUAAGCAUAUCAAUAAGCGGAGGA